rnacentral:sRNA from 1 species
UUGCCUUGUGCUCUUUGAGACUUGGCAGUUCAAGCACUUCUGCGUGUAUGCUUGGAUAUCUUCUUCCAUGCUUAGUCAAUCCUGUUGAAACUGAGGCUCAAGAUACAGUGUCUCCAUGUAACUGAGAUCAUGGUAAAGCACAACAUCCUCCUCUAACUUUGCAAGCUUGAAUUUUGGAAGCAUCUCUUCUAUUACCUUCACCAGAUGUUUAUCAGCCAAUACACUCCCAUUCUUCAAGCAGGCAAUCAUGGCUUCCAACCACUCUGCCUCAUCACAACCCCUCAGUGCUGUUAGUGUGAAUUCUCCCUGUGCCACAUUCACUGAAUCUUCUCCCAUGAAGUCAGGUCUACAACUUAUGGCAUCUGACACAAUAGCAUCCACUCCCUUUCUGUAUUUGAUUUGAAGGUCAUACAUCUGAAACUCUGAUAUCCAUUGUGCUAGCUGCUUGGAGGGUUUGAUUGUUGUUUGCAAAUAAAUGAGGCUUUCAUGGUUGGUGAUCACUGUUGUUGUAUGCCCAUUGUUGAUAUAUCAAUCCCACAGGUCUAGUGCAUGUUUGAUCACUAGAAGUUCCUUCUCAUGCACAGAAUAGUUAAGCUCUGCACCCGACAGCUUUCAGCCAUCAUAUGCUACUGAGUGUAAUUUAUCAUCCUCCCCCACUUGCAAGAGGGAGCACUCAAUGGCCCAUUCUGAUAUGUC